AUGUUUUAAAAUGUAGAUAUGGU
rnacentral:piRNA from 1 species